rnacentral:rRNA from 1 species
CAAGUCGAACGGUAAGGCCCUUCGGGGUACACGAGUGGCGAACGGGUGAGUAACACGUGGGUAAUCUGCCCUGCACAUCGGGAUAAGCCUGGGAAACUGGGUCUAAUACCGAAUAGGACCACAGAACACAUGUCCUGUGGUGGAAAGCUUUUGCGGUGUGGGAUGGGCCCGCGGCCUAUCAGCUUGUUGGUGGGGUGAUGGCCCACCAAGGCGACGACGGGUAGCCGGCCUGAGAGGGUGUCCGGCCACACUGGGACUGAGAUACGGCCCAGACUCCUACGGGAGGCAGCAGAAGGG